AUUGAACGCUGGCUGCAGGCCUAACGCAUGCGAGUCGAGCUGAGUAAGGGAUCUUUCUCCUGGAUUCAGCGGCUGACGGGUGAGUAAUGCCUAUGAAUCUGCCUGGUAGUGUGGGAUAACGUCCGGAAACGAGCGCUAAUACCGCAUACGGCCUAAGGGAGGAAGUGGGUGAUCUUCUGACCUCACGCUCUCAGAUGAGCCUAGGUCGAAUUAGCUAGGUGGUGGGGUAAAGGCCUACCAAGGCGACGAUCCGUAACUGGUCUGAGAGGAUGAUCAGUCACACUGGAACUGAGACACGGUCCAGACUCCUAUGGGAGGCAGCAGUGGGGAAUAUUGGACAAUGCGCGAAAGCCUGAUCCAGACCUGCCGCGUGUGUGAAGAAGGUCUUCGGAUUGUAAAGUAAUUUAAGUUGGGAGGAAGGGCAGUAAGUUAAUACCUUGCUGUUUUGAGGUUACCAACAGAAUAAGCACGGGCUAACUUCGUG
rnacentral:rRNA from 1 species